CUAACCAUGCUGGCCCAGGAACUACACUUUAAGAAACACUCUUAAGAACUUCAAAGUUCUUGAGAAGUAGCCCAGAACUAAGAAAUGUUGAGAUGCAGGAUGAUAUAAGAGACUGAUACCAGAGAAGCCAACUCCCUGAUUUCACAGAAAGAAGUUCAUCAAUGGAGAAUCUUCCUCCAAAUUGAAGGAAAUAUACGAGACAUAUUUCCCUAUACCUCAAACUACCCCAAACUCACACUACAUACGCUCAGGGUAUAAUGAAAAAUAUGCUGAAAAUGCUGAAACUUCCCCAAGAAUAGCUAUGAAUACAACUAAAAAAAGAAGAAAUAAAAGAUUUUUUUUUCCCACUCAAAUCUGUAGCAUCAAACAUCAGAGAAAAAAUUUUUCCAGA